rnacentral:rRNA from 1 species
GAUGAACGCUGGCGGCGUGCCUAAUACAUGCAAGUCGAGCGAACAGACGAGGAGCUUGCUCCUCUGACGUUAGCGGCGGACGGGUGAGUAACACGUGGAUAACCUACCUAUAAGACUGGGAUAACUUCGGGAAACCGGAGCUAAUACCGGAUAAUAUAUUGAACCGCAUGGUCCAAUAGUGAAAGACGGUUUUGCUGUCACUUAUAGAUGGAUCCGCGCCGCAUUAGCUAGUUGGUAAGGUAACGGCUUACCAAGGCGACGAUGCGUAGCCGACCUGAGAGGGUGAUCGGCCACACUGGAACUGAGACACGGUCCAGACUCCUACGGGAGGCAGCAGUAGGGAAUCUUCCGCAAUGGGCGAAAGCCUGACGGAGCAACGCCGCGUGAGUGAUGAAGGUCUUCGGAUCGUAAAACUCUGUUAUUAGGGAAGAACAAAUGUGUAAGUAACUAUGCACGUCUUGACGGUACCUAAUCAGAAAGCCACGGCUAACUACGU